GAUAGAGACUGCUCUUUAAGUGCCAGUACGGGAAACACUUGGUUACCUGUCUUCUGGGGCCGACUUAUCUGAAAGAAUGAGGUUUCUGAUAGCUAACACCUCAGCAUUACAAUUCUGUUUUCCAUAAACUUCUGUGCAGAAAUCUGGGGAAUUCAAAAGAACUGGGGAGUGCUGAUCUCCCUGGAGUCUGAAGCCUGGAGAAACCAUCCAGAAGGCUGAAGCUAUUCAUCUCAAAGGAGCAGAUGUUGUCCCUCCCCAAGGAGUUAUUAUGGGUUGGAAGAAAUGAGAAAAUGAAUAUAAACAAGUUAUUCUGUGAAUGUUAUCAAAUAUGAUCAGCACCAACCAAAUAGAGCUCUAAAUGAGAAAAAGCAAAUGGACUCAAUGUGGUUGAAAUGUGGAGAGGAUUUUGAGAGAUGAAGCUUGAAAUAUAGUUGACCCUUGAACAAGGUGGGUUUGAACUGCAGGUGUCCACAUAUGCACAGAUUUUUUUCAACCAAACAUGUUGAAAAAUACAGAAUUCAUGGGAUGCUAAGCCCACAUAUACUGAGGGCUGACUUUCCCUAUCUACCUUCCACAGAGUAUGCACAGGUAUACAUGGGAGUCCUGGAAUCAAUCCCCUGCAUGUACUGAAGGAUGACUGUGUAUGUUUCUUUUAACCUAAACUUCCUGUACUAACUCUGCCUUUGUAUAUUUCCAGAUUCCUCCUGCCCCAGAAAACUAGAUAUGUACUUAAGAGAGAAAAGAAAUAAGCU